rnacentral:misc_RNA from 1 species
GAUGAAGAACGUAGCGAAAUGCGAUAAGUAAUGUGAAUUGCAGAAUUCAGUGAAUCAUCGAAUCUUUGAACGCACCUUGCACCCUUUGGCAUACUGAAGGGUAUGCUCGUUUGAGUGUCAUUGUACUCUCACACUCCCGAUCUUUGCAUUGGGAGCAGUGGACUUGGGUUUGCUGCUUCACCGUCGCUUACCUCAAAUAGGUUAGUGCAACUCUUGGUUGGACAUAGUACGGCGUGAUAAGUGUUCUUCGCCGGUGCCUCGCAAAGAGGGUGGCCGAUCGGGAUGUUGUGCUCCAAACCGUCUUCGGACAAUCUCUGACGACUUGACCUCAAAUCGAGUAAGACUACCCGCUGAACUUAAGCAUAUCAAUAAGCGGAGGA